rnacentral:rRNA from 1 species
UACGAAGGGGGCUAGCGUUGCUCGGAAUCACUGGGCGUAAAGGGCGCGUAGGCGGCCAUUCAAGUCAGAGGUGAAAGCCCAGGGCUUAACCCUGGAAUUGCCUUUGAUACUGUUUGGUUUGAGACCGGAAGAGGUAAGUGGAACUGCGAGUGUAGAGGUGAAAUUCGUAGAUAUUCGCAAGAACACCAGUGGCGAAGGCGGCUUACUGGUCCGGUUCUGACGCUGAGGCGCGAAAGCGUGGGGAGCAAACAGG